CCUGACUGUUUUAUAAGCAGCAUUUUGCCCAGUUUAAAUCUCUUUUCACUUUAUUCUUCAGAGUCAAGACAUUUAUGAAUAUGAAAACAUGUAACUCAGGAUCUUCAGUUUCCGGAAAAAUAAAAAUCUCUCCCCUAAAAUCUAUUCUGAGAACUGACCCUGGAAGAAUCAAAUAGGAUCUUCUUCAGUGGAGUUACUGCAGGCACUUCUAGAUGUAGGGUGUGGCAACACGAGAAAUCAAUAGAAAACAGAAUCUUUGAAGUUGACAGCAUCUCUGAUGAAAUCUUCAAGGUAUCAGCCACCUGCCAUGGUGUGGACGCCUGUCAGCAAGCCACGGCCCUACACAUCCACGCUACAUCUGAGCAUCCUCCAGCCUGCCCGGAAGGCGAUAUUCAGAAUCUCCGUGGAGAACCACUUCAGGGAUUGACACCUUGAAGUAAGAUCCACUUUAAAUACGAGAUGGAGGCCGAAAUUGAAUUGCUGCUGACUGUUGUCCCUUGUUAUGGCCUGUGGAGAUAUGACAAUUGAGGAAGAACUUAGAGAAAUGCCAAGUAGUAGAGCAUGAAGGAGUGGGUGUGA
rnacentral:lncRNA from 1 species